UUCCAGACUCCUACGGGAGGCAGCAGUGAGGAAUAUUGGUCAAUGGCCGAGAGGCUGAACCAGCCAAGUCGCGUGAGGGAAGACGGCCCUACGGGUUGUAAACCUCUUUUGUCGGGGAGCAAAGCGAGUCACGUGUGACUCAUUGAGAGUACCCGAAGAAAAAGCAUCGGCUAACUCCGUGCCAGCAGCCGCGGUAAUACGGAGGAUGCGAGCGUUAUCCGGAUUUAUUGGGCUUAAAGGGUGCGCAGGCGGAGGUGCAAGUCAGCGGUCAAAUUGCGGGGCUCAACCCCGUACUGCCGUUGAAACUGGCGUUCUUGAGUGGGCGAGAAGUAUGCGGAAUGCGUGGUGUAGCGGUGAAAUGCAUAGAUAUCACGCAGAACUCCGAUUGCGAAGGCAGCAUACCGGCGCCCAACUGACGCUGAGGCACGAAAGUGCGGGUAUCGAACAGGAUUAGAUACCCUGGUAA
rnacentral:rRNA from 1 species